AUUCUCCCUUGUGUGGGGAGGGGCUUAGGGGACCAUUUUGGGCUUUAGCUGAAAGGGGGGCGGGACUGGGAAGUUUUUGAUAUUUAAAUGUUUUGGUU